GUAAAACAAGAAAAUGAAAUGUUUCUCUUUUCAUUUUUGCUCCCCAGUGAGUUUGAGUUUUAUGCAAUUUCUUGUAUAAGAGGAGAGCCUAAGUCCAUGGAAGCUGGGAUUGAACAUCCUGAAUAUGCAGUUCCUUGGAGAGCCACCAAGAAAAGACCUAAGCAGGAGACAUGAUGUCACCUUCGGGGAGGAGGCUCUUCAGCUGUCUGGCAUGGGAGGAGGAGGAAUGAGGAGGAUCACUGGCCUUGAACCCCCAAGGAGAGGCCAGAGCACCUUUCUGGGACUCAGCCCAGGGAUUAGGAGUCAGACAAGGAAGAAGAGGACAUGAUAGGAAACUGGGAGAGGCUUUGGGCAUCUGAAGAAGAUGGGAAGGAGGGGAGAGAUCACUGAAAGGAGAGGUGUGAUGCUGGGGGAAACCCCUCUGACCUCAUUGUUUUAUCCCCCAGGAAGGGCCUGUGCCUGGCCCACCAGCCACAAUCUGUAGACACAGGUCCUGGGAGAUGAAAUGCCAUCUCUGAGGCCACAGCAACCCCAUGGCUUUCUUCUGUGUCCUUUGAGCUGGUCCCAGCAGGCUGGCCCAUGGCUUCCCUCAGUGAAACACCCUGUCCUGUCCCCUCCCUUCCCAAGCAGCUCUUCUGGCCUCUGUCACUCUGCGGUGGUUUUUAUAAGGCUCAUCUUACUGUGUGGGUUUUAUUAGCAAGUGAUUGCUUCUCACGUCUCAACCAUGAAUCUUUCAGUUGUGGUUUCAUCUUGGGCCUAGCGGACUAUGAAGAAGCAAUUAACGUAUUUCUCAGCCUCCCAUAUCAGGGAGAGUGCAAGGUUUCAGGGCAAGAGGGGAAUUCCUUAUGACCCAACCCACCCAGUCUAGGGGUCUAGAUAGAAAGUCUCUCUUCAAAAUACUAAGCAAACCAUAAGCAUUAUUAUCUAGCUGAGAAACCUGAGGUUCAGAGGGACUUAAGGCACUUGUUGGAGAUGGUGAAAGUGGUAAAGG